AGCAUUGUCGAAUUUUAAUGCAAUGGGCCGACACUGUACAACGAUGAUCAACAUUUAUUUUUUCAACAAUUUGAAAGUAAAAUUAUUUUCAAAUGUUGAUCAAAUCUUAAAAAAAUUUCAAAUUUGACAAUCAUAAAAAUUUGGGGAAUAUGAGAAAAAAAUUGGGUCAAAAGAUGGAGCGACCGCGGAAUGAUCCUUCGAAACCAUGCUCAGGUAGGAUGAAGGCCUCAUGUCGAUGCAAUUUGAGAGAAAGGAAAGGAAAUUGGUGCUGACGUGGGAAUUUUCACAGCGGUGGCGAGCGAUGGAAAGAAAAAGAACAAAUACAAACGAUCGACCGGAAAUUGAAAAAAAAGGAAAAAAAAAAGGAAUUAUCAGCUGUUGAGUUCCGAUGACCACUCCAAUUAUUUGCGGAGGAACAACAGAAAUUCUGGGGAUUAUAGACCUUAUAUCUUGCAUCAAGCUGUUUUGGUGAUUUUCGAUUGCCGAAUUGCAAAGUCUGGGAGAUUGAAAGUUGUUUAUUUGAAAACUGAGAAAGGUUUAUUAAUUGAAAUUAAACCAUAUGUUCGUCUUCCAAGGACGCAGAAACGAUUUUUGUGGUGGAUGCAAUGGCUCAUGGGAAAAUUGAAACCGAUUACGCCGAUGAUCUAUUAGCAAGUUGAGGAAAGAGCUAGUUUGGUGGAUUUUAAUGUUGGUGAAGGUUUCGGUUCAUGAGGCAGCUUGGUUGCUGUGCAAGUUCGAGAACAAGAAGCGGAUUUCUUUGAGACUGCAAGGAGUCAGGCGUACAAGUCAGAGAAGAAGAAGACGAUUCUACAGAUGAUUCAAUAUCGUCGUCUUGCCAAAAACGACUUUUCCCCCUUUUUCUCUUCCCCGCUUUCGGAUAUGCAAAACAGAGCCAGUCGUCCGUCUUGCUGGUCUCGCUUUCCUUCCUUUGCUUGCUUUUAUGAGCACCGGCAUAAGAGGGAUCAUGAUAUGAGGGGUAAGAAGACCAAUUCUCAUCCGCCGGUGACCCCACUACGCGGUAGAAGGGAGAAGAGUGAAUUCAUCACAAGGACAUUUGCUAAGGAGCUAAGCUGAAGUCAUAUACCCGGAUAAGUCCUAUCUCCGAAUAGAGGUGUCAUUCUUUUUUCAAAUUGAGGAGUAAAGUUUAAUAAAAUUGGAACGAGUUGAUUUACUAAAUUAAAACCAAUUCUAGACUUGUUAGCCCAUCCUAUUUGUGAUGGUGGAAUAUGCUGUGGGAAAGAAGUUUGAAAGGAAAUUAUUGAAUCUCUAA